rnacentral:rRNA from 1 species
CCUAGGGGCGGCUGCAGUGGGGAAUAUUGGACAAUGGGCGAAAGCCUGAUCCAGCCAUGCCGCGUGUGUGAAGAAGGCCUUCGGGUUGUAAAGCACUUUCAGUGGGGAAGAAAGCCUUGGGGCUAAUACCCUCGAGGAAGGACAUCACCCACAGAAGAAGCACCGGCUAACUCCGUGCCAGCAGCCGCGGUAAUACGGAGGGUGCGAGCGUUAAUCGGAAUUACUGGGCGUAAAGCGCGCGUAGGCGGUCUGAUAAGCCGGUUGUGAAAGCCCCGGGCUCAACCUGGGAACGGCAUCCGGAACUGUCAGGCUAGAGUGCAGGAGAGGAAGGUAGAAUUCCCGGUGUAGCGGUGAAAUGCGUAGAGAUCGGGAGGAAUACCAGUGGCGAAGGCGGCCUUCUGGACUGACACUGACGCUGAGGUGCGAAAGCGUGGGUAGCAAACAGGAUUAGAUACCCUAGUAGUC